rnacentral:rRNA from 1 species
UAGGGAAUCUUCCACAAUGGGCGAAAGCCUGAUGGAGCAACGCCGCGUGUGUGAUGAAGGCUUUAGGGUCGUAAAGCACUGUUGUAUGGGAAGAAAUGCUAGAAUAGGGAAUGAUUCUAGUUCGACGGUACCAUACCAGAAAGGGACGGCUAAAUACGUGCCAGCAGCCGCGGUAAUACGUAUGUCCCGAGCGUUAUCCGGAUUUAUUGGGCGUAAAGCGAGCGCAGACGGUUGAUUAAGUCUGAUGUGAAAGCCCGGAGCUCAACUCCGGAAUGGCAUUGGAAACUGGUUAACUUGAGUGUUGUAGAGGUAAGUGGAACUCCAUGUGUAGCGGUGGAAUGCGUAGAUAUAUGGAAGAACACCAGUGGCGAAGGCGGCUUACUGGACAACAACUGACGUUGAGGCUCGAAAGUGUGGAUAGCAAACAGGAUUAGAUACCCUGGUAGUCCACACCGUAAACGAUGAAUACUAGGUGUUAGGAGGUUUCCGCCUCUUAGUGNCGAAGCUAACGCAUUAAGUAUUCCGCCUGGGGAGUACGACCGCAAGGUUG